CAGAGAUAAUACGAGUUACAUUUCAUAGUCCAUCUUCAAUGAACCAAUAACUUGGGCCGAAAUAGAUUAAACUUACCACUCCUAAUUAAUCACCACCAACGUUGAUCAAGAAUGUCAUAUGAAAGUGGAAGAGUCAUUCCACUGUCCUAGCAUUUUGUCAUGAUAAAAUUAAUUAAUAGAAAAGUUAUUUUUUGUGACCAUGAAAAUAUCUUCAUGUAAUAACCUUGUAAAUUUGUUGGCUUGAAGGC
rnacentral:lncRNA from 1 species